CAGUCGCCACGGGAAUACGAGGGGGGCAAGCGUUGUUCGGAAUUAUUGGGCGUAAAGGGUGCGUAGGCGGUUCGACAAGUCUUAUGUGAAAUCUUCGGGCUCAACCCGAAGUCUGCAUGGGAAACUGUCGGGCUUGAGUAUGGGAGAGGUGAGUGGAAUUUCCGGUGUAGCGGUGAAAUGCGUAGAUAUCGGAAGGAACACCUGUGGCGAAAGCGGCUCACUGGACCAUAACUGACGCUGAUGCACGAAAGCUAGGGGAGCAAACAGGAUUAGAUACCCCCGUAGUCCCUGUCUCUUAUAA
rnacentral:rRNA from 1 species